UAAUCAAUUAAUUUUCAAGUUGAAGGUGAUAUAUAUAUAUGUGUGUGUGUGUGUGUGAAUAUUCCAUCAAAUGGAAUCAAACACAAUGUAGUUAAUUAAUUCCUUGUCUUUGCUUAUUUGAUCAUUCCAAAAAUGUUUAAUUCUACAAUUGCCAACAAUGAGCUAUUUCAGGAAAUCGGGUUUACUUUAGAAGAUCACGAAGCCCAAGUUUUUUUCUUCUUUUCAAUCUGCAAGAAUGAUAAAAGAAAUAAAGCAUGGAUAGUGUUCAAAAGUUUAUCCCCUUAUUUAUGUCAUCUUUAUGGAAAUUAGGCAAGUUUGAUCGUCCAAUCAAAUAAAAUUAAAGAUUAUAUUGCUUAAACUCUUUAA